CCCUUAGAUGUUCUGGGCCGCACGCGCGCUACACUGAUGCAUUCAGCGAGUCCAUCCUUGCCCGAAAGGGCUGGGUAAUCUUUUGAAAUUGCAUCGUGAUGGGGCUUGCGGGUUGCAACUACCCGCACCAACGAGGAAUUCCUAGUAAACGCAAGUCAACAACUUGCAUUGAUUACGUCCCUGCCCUUUGUACACACCGCCCGUCGCUCCUACCGAUUGAGUGCUCCGGUGAACAAUUUGGACUGCUUUGAUUCGAUUAGAAUUUGAAGCGGAAAGUUUAGUGAACCCUAUCACUUAGAGGAAGGAGAAGUCGUAACA
rnacentral:rRNA from 1 species